UGUUCAAAAAUUCUGCUGCACCUUUUGAUAUUCAAUUGUGCCAGCCUGACACAUCUAAGCUGUUCCUGUAACUGUGUUUUGCGAAUACAUCUAAACUGUUCCAUGUAGACUCCAAAUUACAGUCUUGUCGAAAGAGCUCAUGAAUCUAGCCCAUAAAAGCUUAUUGCAUAGGUUCUCAGUGCGAAGAGAUUAAUACAUAAGUAGCACAAAACAAGAAUAAGGUCACACACAAACAUGCAGGACAUGGGCCGAGUCAGAUUCUGCUGACCGGUACAUUAUAUUAGGGCUAAGUAUCAAACAUAUUUUAGAUCUCUAAGCUUGAUGUGACCUCAUGAUCAAGAAGAGCACGGCCUUUGCGCUUUCGAGAUGAGGACUAGCCAGUCCCGAUUAGAGCCUUCUACAAUAAUUAGAUCAGUGCAAUGCUGCUCUCGCCACCAGGCGGCUUCCGGACACCACCAAGGUAGUCUCGCGAAGACGC